GCCUGACUGAAGUAUUCGCCAGUUGAGGUCACACCUGAGCCGAUAAUCACACCUAAAGGGCAAUGAUUGGUUAUUUUGUUGUGUAGGCCUGCAUGGAUUGCGUCAGCCCUGCUUUGACAGUGCCACGCUUUUCAUGUAUCAGGAAACCUUUAGGAAUAACGAUUUGCCCGCCUUGAACUUUUUGGUUCAUGGUUUUUCCCUUGACAGCGGUACUUUGGUUUUUUU
rnacentral:other from 1 species